UUUCUAUAAUAUCCGCGAAGUAGGUAGCAUCAAGUAACUACAGACCUAAUUGGCAUCCAGGAGAAGGGCGUGGCCCUAGCCUUAGCUCGUCUGUUUUUGCCCAGAGAAUAGAAUGUUCCCCAGAAAGUAACCACAUCGUGAAUAUUAGAGUACCAGUUCCUCAAGACAGUCACCCAUGGGUUCGACGAACAGUUAAAUAGCUCCGGAGGCAACCGCCAGACAUCAAACUGCCACCUGAUUCCUCCCGAAGAAGAUCUAGAACUGUGGAUAACCUAGGACAGCACCGGAAGAAGCCUUCACACCACAAGCUAAGUCUUUAAUAGAAUCUGGUACUUGCCUGUCAGCAGAUACAUUUUUUUAUAUAAAGUAACUUCACAAUGACUAUAGUAUAGAUCCUGAAUUAUAACCAAAGAAAUGAGAAAAUAAAGCAUUUAUACCGAAA
rnacentral:lncRNA from 1 species